UACGUAGGGUGCAAGCGUUGUCCGGAUUUAUUGGGCGUAAAGAGCUCGUAGGCGGUUUGUCGCGUCGGAUGUGAAAACCCAGGGCUCAACCCUGGGCCUGCAUUCGAUACGGGCAGACUAGAGUAUGGCAGGGGAGACUGGAAUUCCUGGUGUAGCGGUGAAAUGCGCAGAUAUCAGGAGGAACACCGGUGGCGAAGGCGGGUCUCUGGGCCACUACUGACGCUGAGAAGCGAAAGCAUGGGGAGCGAACAGG
rnacentral:rRNA from 1 species